CUGAGAUGUAGUAUGUUUGUAGAGAGGGUUGGGUCUCUUUAGUUAAAGGUGCUGUACAUUUUAUUAUUUGAUAUGACAUUGGGUUUGUUCUUCGCUUUCUGUAAUUUUGUCAUCAAAGAUUAUUGUUAUAACAAUCUUUCAUAUAAAUAUAUUAUGUUUCAUGACGAAGGUUGGUUAAAGAAUGAGAUGGUCAAAGUUAACGAAUGAAUUAGUUGAAGUCUUAGUCAAGAAAGUCAGAUGAUUGCGGAAGACGUUUAGAUUACUCUUCAUAUAUCAUAGUCAUAUAUAAAUAUGUAAUAUAAAACUGUGAGCAGCCGUGUUAUUAGUUUUAUUUCUGCCAUUCGUUGUUACCUGAUUGCUUAGUUUAUUUGUUCGAUAGUCCUUUCACUACUGUAGCAAGAUUACAAAAUGUUCGCUAGACUAUGCAGAAAACUAGAAUUCUUUUUGUUGGUAACCAUCACACUUAAAUAGAUUGAUCAUUAUAAUUUUACUAGAUCCUGAAUAAUCUGGACAAAUCCCAUAUUGUUUAGGGUGUUAUAUAAAAUGUGUUAUCCUAGCUAUUAAGAAACGAGUUGACAAACUGCGGGACGUUGGGACUCUUUAAUUAGUCAUAAUCUGUAUUUUGGUUGGAGGUUCCGAAAUUCAAAUCUGAGAAUGACUCAGAACAGGUUACCUCUUUUCCAACAACAAAGGAGGUUUUUUUUUUUUUGGUCAAACAACA
rnacentral:lncRNA from 1 species